GAUUACUUGAGUUCGACGGCGCCAAUGAUGGCGCAUUACCAGGUGACGAUGGAACCGCCGGCGGUGACGUGGAAGGGGAGGUUCCCGGCGGGGGAGAUACUCCUGUUGGAGCAUUAGCCGCAGGUGGCUGCGAUGACGGUGACGUGGAGGGGGAAGUUCCCGGAGCCGGUGACAGCCCAGUUGGAGCAUUAGCCGCAGGUGGUUGCGAUGACGGUGACGUGGAGGGGGAAGUUCCCGGAGCCGGUGACAGCCCAGUUGGAGCAUUAGCCGCAGGUGAUUGGGAUGAUGAUGGUGACGUAGAAGGUGAAGUUGCCGGCACCGGAGAGUACCCUUUUGGAGGAUAAGGCGAAGGCGCAUGAGAUGAUGGUGACGUGGAAGGUGAAGUCGCCGGCACUGGAGAGUAUCCUUUUGGAGGAUAAGGCGAAGACGUGGAAGGUGAAGUUGCCGGCGUCGGAGAGGACCCUUUAGGAGGAUUAGCCGAAGGUGCAUGAGAUGUUGGUGAGGUGGAGGGGGAAGUCGCCGGCGGCUGUGUGGCCGGAGAAGGAGACUUAGGAGACGGGGCAUGCGGUGGAGGUUUCGUGGUGGGGGGUCCAGUUGAGGGAGGGGGAGGCCUUUCAUGCAAAACGACGACGAUUAAUUUCUGUCCCUUUUGGCAAUGAUCAUGGUUUCCACUUAUGAAAUAGAAAGGACCCGAACGAUCAAGCUUGAACUCUGAGUCACCCGAAUCCAGUUUCAGCAAAGGCUUCUUCGUGUUGCAGCUGUCGUAAUCAUCUUUGUUCACUAACAACACCGAGUCUGAUCCUUUCUUGUACUUGAAAACUGCCAUAAAUUAAAAAAAAAAAAAAAAUCGAAAUCAGCAUUCUUUCAUUAGAUCGUCACCCCCAAACACAGGUUAAGCAGUGAUAUUCAAACAGAAAAUCCUCAAAGAACGCUGACAGAAACAGAGUAAACCUUAAGACUUACAGAGGGUAUCAUUGACGAGGAACCUGUUUCUCCCAGACCAUUUGUUGUAAUUUUCUCCAGGGUUUGUAACCCAGCCGUGUUUGCCACCCACGUUGAAUUUGAGUGCGUGAGAGGAAGAGAUGAAAAAUGCAAAGAGAGCCAAGGAAAGGCAAAGAGAUUUCUGAAACUCCAUUGAACAGAAAUGUGCUCUAGACUUGUGUGUUUUCUGUUUUUAUAUAGCGAUGAAAGUGAUAUAGAUAUGUACGAUGACCCAGAAGCUUCACAGAAAAUCUGCCAAUUGGAAGUUUUUAUUGGUAUUGCUUUUUUACUUGGGAAGUAAAAGAUUUUGGAGAUUUGAUUGGAGAAGGAAAAUCAGAGAUAAGAAGGAAAGUGAAGAUAGAGGCAGUGGCGUUGAUAUAUAAAGAGAGAUUCAGAUUACCGUUUGAAUAGUAAUAGCAAUCAAUCAAUGAAUCCCAAAACUUUAUUAGAGUCGAGCCAGGUGAAGUUAUUGUUUGUCUGCUUAUUAGUCUACGCCUAGUAUUUGGUCUUCU
rnacentral:lncRNA from 1 species